rnacentral:tRNA from 1 species
CGUUAUGAAGCUACCCUAGCGUUAACCUUUUAAGUUAAAGAAUGAGAACAACUGUUCUCCAUAGCGA